UACGUAGGUGGCAAGCGUUGUCCGGAUUUACUGGGCGUAAAGGGCUUGUAGGCGGUCCGCUAAGUCUGGUGUGAAAUCUCCCGGCUCAACCGGGGAGGGUCAUCGGAUACUGGCGGACUAGAGACGGGUAGAGGAAAGCAGAAUUCCCGGUGUAGCGGUGAAAUGCGUAGAUAUCGGGAGGAAUACCAGUGGCGAAGGCGGCUUUCUGGGCCUGUUCUGACGCUGAGGAGCGAAAGCGUGGGGAGCAAACCGG
rnacentral:rRNA from 1 species